rnacentral:rRNA from 1 species
UACGUAGGGUGCAAGCGUUGUCCGGAAUUAUUGGGCGUAAAGAGCUCGUAGGCGGUCUGUCACGUCGGCUGUGAAAACCCGAGGCUCAACCUCGGGCCUGCAGUCGAUACGGGCAAACUAGAGUACUGCAGGGGAGACUGGAAUUCCUGGUGUAGCGGUGAAAUGCGCAGAUAGCAGGAGGAACACCAAUGGCGAAGGCAGCUCGCUGGAACGGAACUGACGCUGAGGCGCGAAAGCGUGGGGAGCAAACAGG